rnacentral:rRNA from 1 species
AUAGCGUAUAUUAAAGUUGUUGCAGUUAAAAAGCUCGUAGUUGAACUUCAGGCCUGGCCGGGCGGUCUGCCUAACGGCACGUACUGUCUGGGUGGGCCUUACCUCUUGGUGAGCCGGCGUGCCCUUCGUUGGCGUGCGUCGGGGAACCAGGACCUUUACCUUGAGAAAAUUAGAGUGUUCAAAGCAGGCCUAUGCCCGAAUACAUUAGCAUGGAAUAAUAAAAUAGGACGCGCGGUUCUAUUUUGUUGGUUUCUAGAGUCGCCGUAAUGAUUAAUAGGGAUAGUUGGGGGCAUUGGUAUUGAGUCGCUAGAGGUGAAAUUCUUGGAUUGACUCAAGACCGACUACUG